UUAACCAACAGGACCACCACCAUCGCCGCCUUCCUAGCCUUAACUACUUUCUUAUUCGUUCGCCAGGGCAUAAUAUAACGCUCCUUACGCACGCUGAACGCUCCUAAGGAAGACUCCCCCGAGAGGAACUGCGGGUCAGAGACUUCUGGCAUAUUCACCACUACGGAACAUAUGCAGACUCGUGGCUCGUGCCUAGAUACAUUGGCGUCUUACGAGUCGAAAUCAUAUAGGGGACGUUCGACGCCGAUGUGUUGCUAAUGAGAAACAACCUAGAGAUGGAGACGGAUUGGCGCGGUGCGGAGUAGCCUCGCUUAUGGUCCGGUGGUGCCCGAGGAGCAUAACAGCUCGCAGAGCAUAACGCCACGAGCCAUCAUAUCCUCCUCCCGUAAAGACUAACUGGUAUGCCAUUAACGGACGUUGUACGGUUAUUGGAUCAUUUUUGCUGCAAGUAUUCUUUAGAUGGAAAUCUCUUUCUGGCCGUUGGCACGAAACGUUGUCGAAUAUCCUGUGUUGGAAUGGGCCUUUUCCGGUCUUCGUUUUCACUUGGUCAUCUUUUUCCUUGGUGCAUAUGGGACGUUACAGAACGUUACUCCAGGAGUGGACUUAAUGCUUCAAAGUUAGAGCGAGUUAGCUGCCGUCGUUGCUGGAAGGUUUAAGGAAGAAAAAAAUGAUUCUUAGGGCGGCACCUGACCGGAAGUCGUCACAGUCAUUGCGCUCAAACUCGUGCCUUACCUGCCUACUUCUCCCUCGAGAAGGGGAUGUUCUCAAGGGACUUCAGAAACAUGUAAGCAUCACAGUAUUACAGGACAUAUUUAUGUUAGUGAAGUAGAAACGUUGAUUUUGAAUUUCUGCAGGAUUUCCUUUAAAGAUAA